AUUGAACGCUGGCGGCAUGCCUUACACAUGCAAGUCGAACGGCAGCACGGGUGCUUGCACCUGGUGGCGAGUGGCGAACGGGUGAGUAAUACAUCGGAACGUACCUUAUCGUGGGGGAUAACGCAGCGAAAGCUGUGCUAACACCGCAUAAUCCCUAAGGGGGAAAGCGGGGGACCGUAAGGCCUCGCGCAAUUAGAGCGGCCGAUACCUGAUUAGCUAGUUGGUGAGGUAAAGGCUCACCAAGGCAACGAUCAGUAGCUGGUCUGAGAGGACGAUCAGCCACACUGGGACUGAGACACGGACCAGACUCCUACGGGAGGCAGCAGUGGGGAAUUUUGGACAAUGGGGGCAACCCUGAUCCAGCAAUGCCGCGUGAGUGAAGAAGGCCUUCGGGUUGUAAAGCUCUUUUGUCAGGGAAGAAACAGCAGCUCUAACACAGUUUGCGAAUGACGGUACCUGAAGAAUAAGCACCGGCUAACUACGUGCCAGCCGCCGCUGUAA
rnacentral:rRNA from 1 species